AGCGGGUCCCGCGGCCUUCACUCGGCCCCGGGACGCGAAGGGACCGCUCUGGGGCGACGGCCUGGGCCAGCCAAGGCUUUAGGGCGCUCGGACACAGCGCUCCACGGUGUUUGUAACAGUUCUGUUAGCCGUCCUCGCGGGUGUGGCUUCCGCUUGAGGCUGACCGCUCGGUGCAGCUCGAAGCUGGGAAGUGGGCCACAGCAGCGGACCUGAGCAGGCCCAGGGCAGGCUCCCGAAUAUGUGGACUUGGCUACAGAGCGGCCCCAGCCGCACCGUGCCUCUGCCCAGGAGUCCAGGAGCGGGGAAUCGGGCUGCUGCGCCCCGGCGAGGCCGUGCCUGUUCAGGACAGCUGAUUCGACCCACUCCCCAGGGUGCGUCUUCCUCCGCAGGUACUUUAGGAGCACCCUGGAGAUGGCAUAAUGUCUCCAUUAAAGUAUUUUUCAGUUAGUGGAGACGUGGAGGUAGUGGAAGAGAUGCGGGGUGCAUCACAACCUCUAGAAAUUUGCUGAAUGACCUUGGGUAAAUCAUUUCUCCGAGUUUCUUGAUUCUUGGCUCAAUAUAAGGGGUCCGAAUUUUAUUAGCCUCAAAAUGUACUCCCAUGAUUCUUGUCUCCUCUAAAUAGAUUUUAAGUCCUUUCCUAGUUUGUGAAAAUGUUUUAAUUAACAGAAUUUUCUCAGUAUUUUUCUCCCAUGUGACCCUUGUUGCUGCUAGGCUACACGCUCAACACAAGAAGGUGUUUGUUACUGCACCAAAUAUAUUUAGCCCCUUUCAGUCCCAAAUGGCAACCAGAGCCAGAACAGCAGGGCUAGAUGCUGUCUUAGCAGGCUCCUGUGAAGAUGCUGUCACACUGGCGAAUCAUCAAGCCGUUGUAGUUGGUAUUCUGCCAGCCAGGGGAUAAUCUGGAGACACGCCGGGGUGAAGUGUAUUAUUCGUGAAGCACUGUGGAUCUGGUUGCUGAAAGUGAUUCAGCAGCAAAUUCGGAAUUAGUUUUAGGGUUGUCUAGUUCUGGCAUCUAAAGGAAGUGCUACUCCAGCUUGAGCCUUACACACUUUCUUUUCCACCUCCAAAAUUGUUUUCAAGGCCUUAAUGAAUAUGCAGAGGCUUAAAGGAAAUAUACAGUAAUGUGCCUUAGUU